GUCUAGUAUAAGCAAUUAUACCGUGAAACUGCGAAUGGCUCAUUAAAUCAGUUAUCGUUUAUUUGAUAGUACCUUACUACUUGGAUAACCGUGGUAAUUCUAGAGCUAAUACAUGCUGAAAACCCCAACUUCGGGAGGGGUGUAUUUAUUAGAUAAAAAACCAACGCCCUUCGGGGCUUCUUGGUGAUUCAUGAUAACUUCACGGAUCGCAUGGCCUUGCGCCGGCGACGGUUCAUUCAAAUUUCUGCCCUAUCAACUUUCGAUGGUAAGGUAUUGGCUUACCAUGGUUUCAACGGGUAACGGGGAAUUAGGGUUCGAUUCCGGAGAGGGAGCCUGAGAAACGGCUACCACAUCCAAGGAAGGCAGCAGGCGCGCAAAUUACCCAAUCCCGACACGGGGAGGUAGUGACAAUAAAUACUGAUACAGGGCUCUUUUGGGUCUUGUAAUUGGAAUGAGUACAAUUUAAACCUCUUAACGAGGAACAAUUGGAGGGCAAGUCUGGUGCCAGCAGCCGCGGUAAUUCCAGCUCCAAUAGCGUAUAUUAAAGUUGUUGCAGUUAAAAAGCUCGUAGUUGAAACUUGGGCCUGGCUGGCAGGUCCGCCUCACCGCGUGUACUUGUCCGGCCGGGCCUUUCCUUCUGGAGAACCUCAUGCCCUUCACUGGGUGUGCUGGGGAACCAGGACUUUUACUUUGAAAAAAUUAGAGUGUUCAAAGCAGGCCUUUGCUCGAAUACGUUAGCAUGGAAUAAUAGAAUAGGACGUGCGGUCCUAUUUUGUUGGUUUCUAGGACCGCCGUAAUGAUUAAUAGGGACAGUCGGGGGCAUCAGUAUUCAAUUGUCAGAGGUGAAAUUCUUGGAUUUAUUGAAGACUAACUACUGCGAAAGCAUUUGCCAAGGAUGUUUUCAUUAAUCAGUGAACGAAAGUUAGGGGAUCGAAGACGAUCAGAUACCGUCGUAGUCUUAACCGUAAACUAUGCCGACUAGGGAUCGGGCGAUGUUCUUUUUCUGACUCGCUCGGCACCUUACGAGAAAUCAAAGUUUUU
rnacentral:rRNA from 1 species